AUUUCUAAGAGUUUUCAAAUCACUUCUUUGACUCUACUUGAUUUAAAAGGUUACAGAGGAGAAGAUGGUGAGCCACUUGGGCGCUUAGAGGCUUGUGCAAAGUACAGGCCCAGCACAAGGGAGCCACAGUCAGGAUCUGCUCAUGUAGUGAUGGACAUCAGUUUGGUUAGUGGAUUGGAAGCAAAUACAGAAGACUUAUCUACUCUUGCAAGUGGAGUUGAUCAGUUGAUAGCUGAUUAUGAGAUAAAAGAUGGGCA
rnacentral:lncRNA from 1 species